GGGAACGUAGCUCAGUCUGGGAGAGCACUACGCUGAAGACGUAGGUGAAUCAUACAACGAAAGGUGUAUAGUCCUAAAUCGAGAGUUCAAAUCUCUCCGUUCCCA
rnacentral:tRNA from 1 species